AACCGGCGCGCCUCCCCAUGUCCCCGCACCAUUGGACCCUUCCUCCCCCGUGGUCUCGCGCCGGCUCCUGCAUGGUCGCUGCAAGAUUGGGCGCUCCUUCAUCCACAAGCCUUACUUCGUGCUGGAGACCUGGAGACCUGGCUGUUGUCACACUUCAAGCUCAAGCUUCAGCAUAAAAUGCCCAAGUUCCCCAUCAAGUCCCUCUACAUCGAUGGCAAACCCAAGGUCAAGGAGAGAGGCCUCAAGAUGCAGAAUGGCCAUAAGUUGAUGUAAGUGGAAGAUCUCUAAGCAGAGUCGGAGUGACAAAAAUAGCAGGACGGCCAUGCUGAAGCUUGGCAUGAAGUCCAUCACUGGUGUGAGCCAUGUAACUGUUAAGAAGAGCAAAAAAAAUCAUGUUUGCAUCUCCAAACCAGAUGUCUUCAAGAGACACCUAUGUCAUUUUGGGUGAGGCUGAGAUUGAGGAUCAGAGCUCACAGCUGCAGUCAGAGGACAAUUUCAAUUUAGGUAAUGGGCAUCUCUUUGCAUCAGUCGACCAGUAGGGCAGUUGGGCUCUUCUGUUAGAUGGGUAGUACAUGGUUAAUUUAAUUACAGAUUAAGCCACCUGCAUAUGAGAAGCAAAAUAUUUGGGUGCGGAGCGUAGUUAAACUUGGAUUGCGAAUGAUUGACACCUAUCUGAUCAAUCAAUUGGUCAUUUCUUUCAGGUAUUUGGCAAAAUAUGGCGACGAGGAUCAAUUGGUCUUGCUUAUUCAGAAACAGAUUCAAGAAGGUUAUACAAAUUAUUAGGUAUAGAUGUGUGUCCUGCAAUGUGAUAUAGCGGUGAAAUAGAUAUACACUGUUUGAAAAUGU